GAUGAACGCUGGCGGCGUGCCUAAUACAUGCAAGUCGAGCGAACAGAUGAGGAGCUUGCUCCUCUGACGUUAGCGGCGGACGGGUGAGUAACACGUGGAUAACCUACCUAUAAGACUGGGAUAACUUCGGGAAACCGGAGCUAAUACCGGAUAAUAUAUUGAACCGCAUGGUUCAAUAGUGAAAGACGGUUUUGCAGUCACUUAUAGAUGGAUCCGCGCCGCAUUAGCUAGUUGGUAAGGUAACGGCUUACCAAGGCAACGAUGCGUAGCCGACCUGAGAGGGUGGUCGGCCCCACUGGAACUGAGACACGGUCCAGACUCCUACGGGAGGCAGCAGUAGGGAAUCUUCCGCAAUGGGCGAAAGCCUGACGGAGCAACGCCGCGUGAGUGAUGAAGGUCUUCGGAUCGUAAAACUCUGUUAUUAGGGAAGAACAAAUGUGUAAGUAACUAUGCACGUCUUGACGGUACCUAAUCAGAAAGCCACGGCUAACUACGUG
rnacentral:rRNA from 1 species